CAAUAUAAACAAAGAAAAAAUUGACAAACCAUAUGUUCUGCGUGCAACGUUAGGAUUGCCAAUAAAAUUUGAAAGAUAAAAUGAGAUAACGUAAAACGAUGUGGUGAAGAAUGCGACCAAUUGAGAGCAAAUAACAAUUAUAUUUGGGACGGAAUAAAUUGAAUAUUAUUAUUGAAGAUUUCAGUUUCAUUUCGAACACAAGUUAAUUAUUUAUCACUUUAAUGUUUGAAUAUCAAUACACUAAAAGAUGGAAGAUUGAACGAGGAGGAAAGAGUGAAACUGGUUUAACACGAUGAGAAGAGUAAGAAAUGUAGGAUUAUACUUCAUCUCAUGAUAUGACAGAUUGGUUUUUUGAGACUUUUGAUUCAAGAACUCGAUUCCUUUCAUCGUUCGUAAUUCAUCUGAAAUUAUUCGACUGAUGGCUUAUUUAUAGAGCAAUGAAACAUGGAUACAGAAAAAAUCUCACCUGAAGGAUUAUGGAUAUAAUUAUUGUUAUCUCUAAUAUCCAUUAGGAAUUUCACCCACUAACUCCUUCGAAAGUUUGAAACUGCAAUGUUUCUGUACUAUCUGUGCCCAUGUAAAAUUGGCAAAAGUACCUACCUCCAUGGUCAAAUUAGGGUGGGGGUAGGUCAUAUUCUGUUCACAGGUAGUUUAUUCCUCGACACUUUCUAUGAAGAUCGGUUAGUCAUAACCCCCUGAAGUAAAUCAGCAGUUAUGAAAU